rnacentral:lncRNA from 1 species
CAUGGGGUUGGGGGACAGGGGGACACUGUGCCAUGGGGUGGGUGGACAGGGGGACACAAUGCUGGGGGGAUGGACAGAAGGACACCAUGCCAUGGGGCGGGGGGGGGGGGGGGGGGGGGGGGGGGGGGGGGCCGCGCCCCUCAGAAAUACCACUAUUCCUUCACCCCGCGGUCAGUUCAGGUCUGUGGGCUCAUCUCAGGGCGGGCCCCCCCCCCAAUAGGAGCCGUCCCCGUGAAGAAAAAUAGAAAUAAACGCGUAAAAUCCCAGCCCGUCCCUCAUACCUCGGAGAUCAUCGCCCGCUCAGCGCCGCGCACAAAAUGGCCGAAGCGGCGCGGUCCGCGCGAUUUUAUAGGGCCGCGGGGCAUGCUGGGAGUGCGCGGCACCGCGCAUGCGCGCACUGGGGAAAAGGGCGGGAAGGGAGGAGAGCAUGCGCAGUGCGUGGGCAGUGGGUGA